rnacentral:lncRNA from 1 species
GUACCGUGGAAAUCCAUAUAUACUGGACGGCUGCUUGCGUGACACAGGUAAUUUAGUCAUCUGUAAGAACUACACAACGAUUGUCAAUAUGAUUUUCUUACAUCAGAAUCAAAAUGGCAUUACAAAAAGAGGGAGAAGGUAGAUUCUUCUGGAGUGUAGUAAAAGUUAGGGAUCAAACACAAGCAUACACAGAAUAUCAAACUUUCUAAGUGUAGGCAGGGCAAUAUGUAAUAUUCCCUAACGCUAAAUAUGUACUCAGUUAAUCAGAUUUUGCAAGUAAUUCCAGUAACUUAGUUGUGCUUCAUAUCCUAAGUUAUUUUAUGUUUUGUAGGUGGAUUUUCAAUUAUUUUCCCAAACAUAUAUAUUCUCCAUUUGAUUGCAAAGUUGUGCACAUGAUCAACCUUUUUUUUUUGUACGAGACAUUUACCUGGAAUUACUUAAAUUAGUUACUACACUACACAUUUCAAUACUUCUGUGAUAACUAGAAUUACAUACAGAAUUGAGCGACUAAUAUUUUAGGAAUUUUACCAUGCAUGACAAGCAAAAAUGAGAAUCCCAACAAAGAUUCAAUGUGUAUAUUUAUACAAUAUAGCAUGUGUAUCAUGGGAGGAUAAUAGAAAAAACAAAUACUUGGACCAUAAGAUGCUAUAUAAUUCUGUAUAAAACAGUAACUCUUGAAUCGCCUAAUUACCUUUUUAAUACAGGAUAUAAUCCAUUCCAACAAAAGAAGAACUGCACCAGAAAGUGUGGAAGCAUCGAUAUCCCAUAUCCGUUUGGCCUAGAAGAAGGCUGCUCCGCAAGGAAACUAUUUCAGCUCAACUGCACGGACAUGUCAUCAUCCAGCCUCCAACUCAAUGAUAUUUACCAUGUGAAGUAUAUAAAAGUCAAUGAAGGGAUUGUGGGUAUCGAGGAC